rnacentral:misc_RNA from 1 species
GUGCAUAGAAAGUGCCAUAUAUACACCCACCAAAGCCAAAAAAUAUAUAUAAAAAAAAACACCUAAAAGAUCGAGAAGGCCAAAAAACAACACAGAACCAGAGAGUGAUUUUUGGGUGCUUAGUCUAUCAAACACCAAAAGAGACCCAAAAACAAAAGAACCCAGAUGGUGCUUAUGGGUUUUAAGUCAGUAACAAAAUGAGUUCAGUUUUUUGGGACAGGUGGUUGUGUUGAGUUUGGUUCUUGAGUAUCUUCUUCUUUACUGGUGGUGAUGGUGGUGGUGGUGCUGCUGCUGC